rnacentral:rRNA from 1 species
UACAGAGGCCUCAAGCGUUAGGCGGAAUCACUGGGCUUAAAGCGUGUGUAGGCGGAUGUCUAAGUGCCUUGUGAAAUCCCAUGGCUCAACCAUGGAACUGCUGGGCAUACUGGACGUCUUGAGCCAUCCAGGGGUCGCUGGAACAAACGGUGGAGCGGUGAAAUGCGUAGAUAUCGUUUGGAACGCCAAAGGUGAAGACAGGCGACUGGGGGAUGUG